AUGCCCUUUAACUCUUGUAUUCUAAGAAUAUGUGGGCAACUACAGUCUGUUCCUCUUCAUCAUGUUAUUCAGAACAAUAUAGAUACCUGUCACUUCUCUCCUUACUCAGGCUGUAAUUCCAUGGGACUAUGUCACUCUCUGCAUGGAAGCUGUCACCCAACUCUGAACCCGCUGCUCACUUCAUUGAUGUCUCCAACUUUCCCUAAUUUCCUUCAUUUUGGUGGAGAUGAACCACCAGUGGUGGUUUGUACUGGCUCUGACAACUUCCUUGCUCUGAACUUGCUGGCUGCACUGAUUUCUGAAAAAGACAUUCUGAAAUAAAUUGUGAUGCUACUUUAUAACUUAAGUGUUUGCUCUUAUUCAAUGCCUCUGACAAGCUUUAGCUUUGAGACUUCUGCCCUUUGGAAGCACCAAGCAGGUUUUGCCCUUGCAGGAUCAGGCAGUGUUUGUGGGUUGCCAAAGGACCUUCACAGAAUCACAGAAUCGUAGUGGUUCUGUGACCUUGGGGCUGGAUGUGACACAUGAAGGCAAACUACCUCUUCUAACCAUCCUGAGGUGAGGAUUUUGGGCUGCCCUGAGACCCUUGCAGUGGUCCCACCUGAGGAGACCUCUGGCUGAGGGCAAUAGAAGCCUCAGUGUUUGCUCCAACCUGCAGCCCCUUGCAGAGCUCGGCUGGACUCGUG
rnacentral:lncRNA from 1 species